rnacentral:tRNA from 1 species
GGUGACUUGCCCGAGUAGUCUAAGGGGUUAGGUUUAGGCCCCAAUAUGGAAAUAUGCGUGGGUUCGAACCCCACAGUCAUCA